UAAUACGGAGGGUCCAAGCGUUAUCCGGAAUCAUUGGGUUUAAAGGGUUCGUAGGCGGAUUAAUAAGUCAGAGGUGAAAUCCCACAGCUCAACUGCAGAACUGCCGCUGAUACUGUGUUUCUUGAGUAUAGUUGAAGUGGGCGGAAUGUGUCAUGUAGCGGUGAAAUGCAUAGAUAUGACACAGAACACCGAUUGCGAAGGCAGCUCACUAAACUAUUACUGACGCUGAGGCACGAAAGCGUGGGUAGCGAACAGGAUUAGAUACCCUGGUAGUCCACGCCGUAAACGAUGAUUACUCGAUGUUGGCGAUACACUGUCAGCGUCCAAGCGAAAGUGUUAAGUAAUCCACCUGGGGAGUACGGUCGCAAGAUUG
rnacentral:rRNA from 1 species